AUUGAACGCUGGCGGCAUGCUUUACACAUGCAAGUCGAACGGCAGCGCGGGCUUCGGCCUGGCGGCGAGUGGCGAACGGGUGAGUAAUGCAUCGGAACGUGCCCCGCUGUGGGGUAUAGCCCGGCGAAAGCCGGAUUAAUACCGCAUACGAGCUGAGGGUGAAAGCGGGGGGGCGUAAGGCCUCGCGCUAUUGGAGCGGCCGAUGCCGGAUUAGCUAGUUGGUGGGGUAAAGGCUUACCAAGGCGGCCAUCCGUAGCUGGUCUGAGAGGACGACCAGCCACAUUGGAACUGAGACGGGGACCAGGCGCCUGCGGGAGGCAGCAGUGGGGAAUGUUGGGCAGUGGGGGCAACCAUGGUACAGCGGGGCGGCGUGCGAGGAAAAGGCCUUCGGGUUGUGAACCGCUUCUGUUGGGGAAGAAACCCUUUGGGCUGAUACCACGGGGGGGUGACGGUACCGGAAGAAGAAGCACCGGCUAACUACGUG
rnacentral:rRNA from 1 species